UGCUGGCAGGAGUCUGAGUCACAGGCAGAGUCAAAUUCAAGGGAAGUUGUUCUUUUCUGAAUACAUGAGAGCUGAGGAACAUGCAAGAUAGACAAGAAAUGCUCCAAAUAUGAAAAACUUAAAGGAAAAUCCAACAUCUUUCAGAUGCCUGCCUCAAACUUCUGGUGUCGGAAGAAAUGGAAGCACAGUCUGCCUCAAAGUACAGUGAAGGAGAUAAAAUAUCAUACUACAAUAUGGUAUAUGCUUGUUUACACGCUCAGACUUGACAUUUUGUCUUCAGUCCCCCUUAUCUGACUCAUUUUCUGUUUAUAUGCCA